GAUCCAUCGGGUGCCAAAGGUCGCGAUGCACGCGAUUCGGGCGUGUAAUGCGCUGUUUUGCGGCGAUUGACUCCUAUUGAGCGGCGGGCAGGAGCCGGCGAAGGUCGCCCCCCUCCAGCGCCCUCCUCCUCGGCCGGCUCCGCGGCCGUGCGGAGAGGCCCCGUGACGUACACCCGUGUUACUAUGCAGACUUCGGCCGCUGAUAGUCGCCAUGUCACUUGUGCAACAUCACUGCAGCUUCGGCGGAGGAGACUCUUGGAAUAAACCGCUGCCACGUCGUCCGCUGCCCUGGGAUAAAGCAGCAGGGUGUAAAUUGGACGCGUACAAGUCGCAGUUUCGGCGGCGGUGUGGCGUGGACCGUUGUGCUGUACAGGCUGCAGUCAUUCGACGCGCAGAUCGGAUUCAGUUUCGAUGACUCCAUCCAUCUGAGUGUCGCAUAUUUUGCAAGGAACGUGGCAGCUCUGGAUGUGGAAUUAGGCGGAAAGGUAAGCAGACAUUUCUUUGGCUGCUGGUUUGUCCUGACUGCAAGAAGAAACGAUGUAGCCGCUGCUCUUAUGUAGGGCAGAGAGCGCCACCCGGCAAGAUCGCAUUCCGGACCUCCUUACUCCCGCUGGCUUGUGGCACAUUUAUAGCCCGCUGGCGGGCCGGCGCAACCUCUGCAUCCUCUGCCGGAAUGGAUGUCCGUCGCUGUAAUGAGAACGGCCGUCGCGUCAGCUGGCUUUUUCAGCCACGACUCACGCAUUGCGCAGCGGUCGCGGUAACAUCAUUCCUCCCACUGAAUUCGCGAUGGAAGAAUGAGUCUACAUUUGAUUUUACGUUCAUUUGGGAAGGUAGUGAUUGUGAGUUUUUGAAAUGUAGUACCUUAUCAUAAAACUUCGCUGUUGUACAUUUUACUGUUAUCGAAUUACAGAGGCAAUAGUGUAAAUUACGUGGCAGUUUUGUUUUUUGUGUACUUGUUAGCUGGGCGGUAUAUGUGGCGUUUUGCGCUGAGCAUUGAUCUUUUUACGUUUGUGUUUCAUUGUCUGAUGGAUGCACUUUUCAGAAAC